GCAGCUGUUUCCACAGGGUGAGGGUGAGCCAGGAGAGCCCGGAAGGGGGAGGGGCAGCCACUGAUGAGCAAGAAGAUGCAUCAGAAGUGCUGCUCUAGAUCCCGGAUAUGAAUCCAACCAUCCAUGAGAAGUUCCAGGAUGCAGCCAGCCUUGGUGAGGCCAGGAAGACAGGCGUCUUAGACCUUAUGUGGAUGACAAUGGCCUUAUUCUUCAACUUCUUAUGAUGGAUGUCCAUGAGGGAUUCUGAUCGCUUUGACUCCUAGAGAAGCAGGAGAAUGGAAGAAAGAACCUUAGCCAUGUAGGUUAUAGACAGUCUACAGCCAGG